rnacentral:rRNA from 1 species
UACGGAGGGGGCCAGCGUUGUUCGGAAUUAUUGGGCGUAAAGGGCUCGUAGGCGGCCAACUAAGUCAGACGUGAAAUCCCCAGGCUCAACCUGGGAACUGCGUCUGAUACUGGAUGGCUUGAAUCCGGGAGAGGGAUGCAGAAUUCCAGGUGUAGCGGUGAAAUGCGUAGAUAUCUGGAGGAAUACCGGUGGCGAAGGCGGCAUCCUGGACCGGCAUUGACGCUGAGGAGCGAAAGCCAGGGGAGCAAACGGG